rnacentral:rRNA from 1 species
GACGAACGCUGGCGGCGUGCUUAACACAUGCAAGUCGAGCGGUAAGGCCCUUUCGGGGGUACACGAGCGGCGAACGGGUGAGUAACACGUGGGUGACCUGCCCUCAGCUCUGGGAUAAGCCUGGGAAACUGGGUCUAAUACCGGAUAUGACUCCAUGACGCAUGUUGUGGGGUGGAAAGCCUUGUGCGGCUGAGGAUGGACCCGCGGCCUAUCAGCUUGUUGGUGGGGUGANGGCCUACCAAGGCGACGACGGGUAGCCGGCCUGAGAGGGCGACCGGCCACACUGGGACUGAGACACGGCCCAGACUCCUACGGGAGGCAGCAGUGGGGAAUCUUGCGCAAUGGGCGAAAGCCUGACGCAGCGACGCCGCGUGAGGGAUGACGGCCU